rnacentral:rRNA from 1 species
CGAACGCUGGCGGCGCGUCUUAAGCAUGCAAGUCGAACGGCAAGGCAGGUGCUUGCACCUGCCCUAGAGUGGCGGACUGGUGAGUAACACGUGGGUGACAUGCCUUUAGUUGGGGAUAGCUACUAGAAAUAGUAGAUAAUACCGAAUGUGAUCAAUAUUUAUAGAUGAUGUUGAGGAAAGGAGCUAAGGCUUCGCUAAAAGAUUGGCCCGCGGCCCAUUAGCUAGUUGGUAGGGUAAAGGCUUACCAAGGCGAUGAUGGGUAUCCGGCCUGAGAGGGUGAUCGGACACAUUGGGACUGAGAUACGGCCCAGACUCCUACGGGAGGCAGCAGCUAAGAAUAUUCCACAAUGGACGAAAGUCUGAUGGAGCGACGCCGCGUGGAUGAUGAAAGGCCGAAAGGUUGUAAAAUCCUUUUACACUGGAGGAAUAAGCAGAGUAGGGAAUGACUCUGUGAUGACUGUACAGUUUGAAUAAGCAACGGCUAAUUACGUGCCAGCAGCAGC